ACGGGAGGCAGCAGUGGGGAAUAUUGGACAAUGGGGGAAACCCUGAUCCAGCGACGCCGCGUGAGUGAAGAAGUAUUUCGGUAUGUAAAGCUCUAUCAGCAGGGAAGAUAAUGACGGUACCUGACUAAGAAGCUCCGGCUAAAUACGUGCCAGCAGCCGCGGUAAUACGUAUGGAGCAAGCGUUAUCCGGAUUUACUGGGUGUAAAGGGAGCGUAGACGGUGACGCAAGUCUGAAGUGAAAGGUGUGGGCUCAACCCGCAAACUGCUUUGGAAACUGUGUGACUAGAGUGUCGGAGAGGUAAGUGGAAUUCCUAGUGUAGCGGUGAAAUGCGUAGAUAUUAGGAGGAACACCAGUGGCGAAGGCGGCUUACUGGACGAUAACUGACGUUGAGGCUCGAAAGCGUGGGGAGCAAACAGGAUUAGAUACCCUGGUA
rnacentral:rRNA from 1 species